rnacentral:rRNA from 1 species
GACGGAGGGUGCUAGCGUUGUUCGGAAUCACUGGGCGUAAAGGGCGCGUAGGCGGUCGUGACAAGUCACUUGUGAAAUCUCCGGGCUUAACUCGGAACGGUCAAGUGAUACUGUCGGACUAGAGUACAGAAGGGGCAACUGGAAUUCUCGGUGUAGCGGUGAAAUGCGUAGAUAUCGAGAGGAACACCUGCGGCGAAGGCGGGUUGCUGGGCUGAUACUGACGCUGAUGCGCGAAAGCCAGGGGAGCGAACGGG